rnacentral:ribozyme from 11 species
UGCCCAGCAACUCCUUUCCCUACCUCCUCGCGGUACUGGCCGGGGUACGAGUAACCCAGUGAGAACUUUGUUCGUAUACUGAUAGGGAAGG